rnacentral:tRNA from 1 species
GCCUGAGUGGCUCAGUCGGUUAAGUGUCUGACUUCGGCUCAGGUCAUGAUCUCGCGGUUUGUGAGUUCGAGCCCCACAUCAGGCU